GAUGAACGCUAGCUACAGGCUUAACACAUGCAAGUCGAGGGACCGGCGCACGGGUGAGUAACACGUAUCCCACCCGCCCUUUACUCGGGGACAGCCCUUCGAAAGAAAGAUUAAUACCCGAUAUAAAGGAUGCGGAUGGGUUCGAUUAGGUUGUUGGUGAGGUAACGGCUCACCAAGCCUUCGAUGGAUAGGGGUUCUGGGAGGAAGGGCCCCCACAUUGGAGCUGCGACACGGUCCAAACUCCUAGGGGAGGCAGCAGUGAGGAAUAUUGGUCAAUCGGCGCUAGCCUGAACCAGCCAAGUAGCGUGAAGGAUGAAGGCUUAUGGGUCGUAAACUUCUUGUAUAUAAGAAUAUGUAUUAUAUGAAUAAGUAUCGGCUAACUCCGUGCCAGCAGCCGCGGUAAUUC
rnacentral:rRNA from 1 species